GAGACGAGAGAGGAGACGAGAGAGGAGACGAGAGAGAGGAGACGAAGAGGAAGACGAGAGAGAGGAGACGAGAGAGGAGACGAGAGAGAGGAGACGAGAGAGGAGACGAGAGAGAGGAGACGAGAGAGAGGAGACGAGAGAGGAGACGAGAGAGAGGAGACGAGAGAGAGGAGACGAGAGAGGAGACGAGAGAGAGGAGACAAGAGAGGAGACGAGAGAGAGGAGACGAGAGAGGAGACGAGAAAGGAGCAGCGGCUUCUUUCUGGAGAAGGUUUAUUCAGAUACGAGGCGACACGCAGCAGGGAAGGAGGCCACGUCCCUUCUCAUUGAGACUCGUCCCGGGCGCGAGGGACGAGCCGCUUUGUGAUGCUAAGUUCACAAUCUAGUGGUCAGAUUCCCUCUGUGCACUUCAUUCCACUCAUUCCCAUUGAAAGCGUUGAUUUGCUCUUGUGGUCUUGGUGCCCAUUGAUUAAAUGUUUCUAAAAGACUAUUUAAAUAUAAAGGUUUUGUCCAUUGAUCCCGUCCAGACUAAUGAGGACGAUUGUUUCCUGUGAAUCGCUGCGUGUGGACGGAAUCUGUCCUGUGCAGACCAGUAACAGUGUCAUGUUAUAUAUGUAUAUAUGUUAUUGGUAAGAUUUAUAGUGAGUGAUGAUAGAAAGACUUGAAGGAGCUUCACGGUAUCGACGCUGUCCUGCAUUGACACAUUGACACAUUGUGGACAUGAACAUUCAGAUUAUUACACGGUCUCAUUCUUCUGGAUUAAAAAACGUAAAGACAAACGAUGGGAAGUCAGAAGGUGGAAAUGACCCUGUGUGUGCGUGUGCGUGUGCGUGUGUGUGUGUGUGUGUGUGUGUGUGUGUUGCAUCAGUAGGUGACGGAGGGUUUGGUGAAGGUGUCACGUUAUUACUUUCACAGCCUCGGCGGCUCAAACGUGAGGACGACGCAGAGCGAAUUACCUUCUGUUCCUUUAGUGUCCACAGAGGACACAGCAGAGCGGAACGGGGACGGCAUCCUUGGAGGACAUCAGCUCCUGAGCUCCACGUCUCCGCCGCUGGGAGAGAAGAACGGGGGGAGGGUGGAGGAGGGUGGAGGAGGGUGGAGGAGGGGGAGGGGCAGUCUCCCUGUCUCCUGUCUCCCGUCUUCUGUCGGGCUGCGUGCAGAACGACAGCCACGUCAGUCGGAGAGAUGAAGAGGAGGAAAGUGAGGAGA
ensembl:lncRNA